rnacentral:rRNA from 1 species
UACGUGAGUGGCGAGCGUUAUCCGGAAUUACUGGGCGUAAAGGGCGUGUAGGUGGCAAGAUAAGUCUAAGGUCGAAGAGAGGGGCUCAACCCCCUUAAGGGCUUUAGAAACUGUCUAGCUGGAGUAUAGGAUAGGAAGAUGGAAUUAUUACAGUAGCGGUGGAAUGCGUAGAUAGUAAUAGGAAGGCCGAUGACGAAGGUAAUCUUCUGGACUGAUACUGACACUGAGGCGCGAAAGCUAGGGGAGCAAACAGG